GAAAAAUUUAGCAGAUUGAUGAAAGCUGAUUCGGUCUAAAGUCUGAAGGGCGCUGAGUUUUGGAGAUAAUUGAAGACGGGCAAGAUGAUUUACGUUUGGAGGUUUGUCAUGAAAAUGUCAGGUCAGCGGAGGGGCUAAUGCUACUGAAUAAGGAACACGUCGCAUAAGGCUCGAUAAUCUACAUAGUACAUUAUUUCAUUUGGCCGCGCUUUAAAAAACCCCUGGACCGGAUCAUCACCAGCUUCGCCUUGAACGGUGAUUUUAAGCGAAAAAAAUUUUAUUUUUCGGUAUAUGUAAAAUUACUUAUGCCAACAAAUGUCCCAGGAAGCAAAAGCUCCAAACUAAAGUCAGCCCAAAUACGAUAUAUGUUCUCGUAUGUACAUAGUAUAGUUUAAGUUCAUUAAAUAUGUUCUUUUGCUAAUGAGUUCAAUCAAUCUAAAAUAUAAUCACAAACCGGUCUA